rnacentral:rRNA from 1 species
AUACGGAGGGUGCAAGCGUUACUCGGAAUCACUGGGCGUAAAGCGCGCGCAGGCGGGCUGAUAAGUUGGAUGUGAAAGCCUACGGCUCAACCGUAGAACUGCAUCCAAAACUGUCAGUCUAGAGUGUGGGAGAGGAAGAUGGAAUUAGUUGUGUAGGGGUAAAAUCCGUAGAGAUAACUAGGAAUACCAAAAGCGAAGGCAAUCUUCUGGAACACUUCUGACGCUGAGGCGCGAAGGCGUGGGGAGCAAACAGGAUUAGAUACCCUAGUAGUCC